GAAACUGUAACUAAAUAGGAAUGGCUGAGUAACUGCGAGUGAAAGGCUAUGUUGUCAAAUUCGAAUUCUUCGGAAGUUGUGAUUGCUUCAUUUACAUUCUAAAGUCGGAACGGUAAAUUUUCUGGAAAGGAAUACUACAACCGGUGAUAGUCCGGGGUCUGUUUUGAUUUGGAUUGUUCUAGUGCAAGAGUCGUGUUGUGUGUGAUCGCAAUGCAAAUCUGGAGGUGUUACACUCCAAAAUAAAAUUGUCAGUGUGGAACCGAUAGAGAACAAGUACCAUGAGGGAAAGUUGAAAAGCACUUUGGAAAGAGAGUGAAAAGUACGUUCAAACCGUUCGGAGAAAAGGAGAAAAGUGUUACGAUGACUUAAUCUUUUUUACAAAGGCCUUGUCAAAUGCAAUACUGGCCAACGUUGUAGCUGAUGUGAAUUCACUCGGCGCAAUAUGAGCUUAUUAUUGGGUUAUAUCAGCAUUUUCUCACCCGUCUUGAAACACGGACCAAGGAGUUCGAGUGAUUAGCAAGGUAUACAUUCAAAGCAUGUAAUACUGGAAAGAAAUUAAAGUAAUAUGCACAUUCAUUGUACCGUUAACUCGUAUGAACUAAACGGUGGGCAGUUCUUCGGAGCUGAUUCGGAGCUAGUCGCUCGAGACCCGAAAGAUGGUGAUCUAUGCCAAGACAGAAUGAAGCCACGGGAAACCAUGGUGGAAGUUCGAAGCGGUUCUGACGUGCAAAUCGAUCGUGUGAUCUCGGUAUAGGGGCGAAAGACUAAUCGAACCAUCUGGUAGCUGGUUUCCUCUGAAGUUUCCCUCAGGAUAGCAGACAUUCGUUUGUACAGUUUUAUCGGUUAGAGCAAAUGAUUAGAGGUAUGGGAGAUUUUGUAUUUUUCACCUAUUCUCAAACUUCGAAUCGGUAAUGGAUAGAAGUGCUGUAAUAAUACUUUUAUUCAAAUGUGAUUGUCUAGUGGGCCUAUUUUGGUAAGCAGAACUGGCGAUGUGGGAUGAACCAAUAGCUUUAUUUAGGUGUCUAAUAUGAGCUCAUGAGCAACCAUGAAAGGUGUUGAUCGAUAUAGACAGCAGGACAGUGGCCAUGGAAGUCGGAAUCUGCAAAGGAGUGUGUAACAACUCACCUGCCGAAUCAAUCAGCCCUGAAAAAGGAUGGCGCUUGAGCUCGUAACCCAGAUUUGGCUGUGAUAAGCAGUUCAUGUUUAUGAAGUGUUUACUUAUUGCAAGUAAGAGGACAAGAAGGUUGCUUAGAUCCGUGUAUGCAAAUAUGCGGGGAGCAGCAUUCUGUGCUGAUCUUGGUGGUAGUAGCAAUUUUUCAAGUGAGAUCCUUGAGAGCUUAAGUGGAGAUUGGAUUCCAUGUGAACAGUGGUUGUACGUGGGUAAAUCGCUCCUAAGCAUGAUGCGAAGGCAUUAACAGUGACUUUGUCUGAUUGCGAAAGGGAAUUGUGUUAAAAUUCUCAAAUCUCGGUCUAAGCACCUUAUGGCGACAUACCUGGUUUCGGAUACUAUCCCAUGUUGUUGAAUGAGAGUUUUCUUUUCUUUUUGACACAAUAAAUGACCGUGGAAAGGUAUUGGGCCACGAAACGGUCACUAUUUUGGCAGAAAAUGGCAGCAUUUGCUAUCUUCCAUGCAUCAAUGGGGUACCAUGAAAAUCCGUGACUGUUGUAAUGAUCGAGGGCGUACCAAUAACCGCAUCAGGUUCCCAAGGUGAGUAGCCUUUGGCUUGGAACAGUGUAGGUAAGGGAAGUCGGCAUAGUGGAUUCGGACCUUUGGUAUAAGGAUUGGCUCUGACGGCUGGGUUGUGGAAACCAGUAGCUCUGUCAUUGACGUGGUCUGCAGUGGGAUGCUCGUCGUCCUGCGGGUGAUCUAGUUGGUGAUUGGAGUAUGUGGUAUUUCAUAGCGUUCUACAGUCAAACUCAGAACUGACACUGACACGGGGAUUCCGACUGUCUAAUUAAAACAAAGCAUUGCAAUGGCAAGUGACUGAGUGAUGACGCAAUGUGAUUUCUGCCCAGUGCUCAGAAUGUCAAAGUGAAGAACUUCAAACAAGCGCGGGUAAACGGCGGGAGUAACUAUGACUCUCUUAAGGUAGCCAAAUGCCUCGUCAUCUAAUUAGUGACGCGCAUGAAUGGAUCAACGAGAUUCCUCCUGUCCCUAUCUACCAUCCAGUGAAACCACAGCUAGGGGAACGGGCCUAGUGUAAUCGGCGGGGAAAGAAGACCCUGUUGAGCUUGACUCUAGUUUGACAUUGUGAAGUGACUCGUGAAGUGUAGCAUAGGUGGGAGCGCUAAGCAAAUUUGAAAUACCACUAUUCGCGGUGUCAUUUUACUUAUCUGAUAAUGGUGUUGUUCAGCCUUCAUUCAUUCAAUAAUCUUUGUUUUUUCAAAGCUUUAUAUUCAGUAAAGAUGUCAGGUGGGGAGUUUGACUGGGGCGGUACAUCUGUAAAAAGAUAACGCAGGUGUCCUAAGGUUGACUCGGAGUGGACGGAAACCUCUCUGAGAGCAUAAAGGCAAAUGUCAGCUUGAUCUGUUUUUACAGUAUGAUUACAGACUGCGAAAGCGUGGCCUAACGAUCCUUUUGAUUUUAGUGUAUUUAAGCAAGAGGUGUCAGAAAAGUUACCACAGGGAUAACUGGCUCGUGGCAGCCAAGCGUUCAUAGCGACGUUGCUUUUUGAUCCUUGGAUGUCGGCUCUUCCUAUCAUUGCGAAGCAGAAUUCGCAAAGUGUUGGAUUGUUCACCCACUAACAGGGAACGUGAGCUGGGUUUAGACCGUCGUGAGACAGGUUAGUUUUACCCUACUGAUUGUCCAUCUAGUGACGUGCCUGAGAAUAGCAUUUUCAUUUAGUACGAGAGGAACUGUGGAUACUCGCCUCUGGUUCAACAGCUGUCAGAAAUGCAAGU
rnacentral:rRNA from 1 species